rnacentral:sRNA from 1 species
CCCCCAUCCCUGUGCCGUGCCUCUACCCAUCAUCCUUGAUUGACCUCUCCCCAAACCCUGGUGCUUGUCUCAGUGGUCUUGCCCCCGCUCCCCUCCCCAAACACAGUCUGUUCUGAGGGCAAGGCCAGGGACCUGUGUCCUCUCUGGUGUCUGUCCCAUGGGGUAAGUGCGAGCCCGCCUGUGCCCAGCUGUUCCAUAGGAGCAGCCAGUGGGCUCUGCCAGGACUGGCUCGGCCUCUGGGUCAGUCAGCUGUGGCCUUCAGAGACACGGGGAUGGGCCUUGGGCUCGGGACUGUGGCACUACUGAGGCCUGGAGUCCUUGUGCCCACCCUCCUGGGCCUGUCUCCCCCUGUCCUUCCCAGCCCCUCGGCCCUGCUCCGAGAGUGAGUUCUCCUGUGCCAACGGCCGCUGCAUUGCGGGGCGCUGGAAAUGCGAUGGAGACCACGACUGCGCAGACGGCUCGGACGAGAAAGACUGCACCCCCCGCUGUGACAUGGACCAGUUCCAGUGCAAGAGCGGCCACUGCAUCCCCCUGCGCUGGCGCUGUGACGCAGACGCCGACUGCAUGGACGGCAGCGACGAGGAGGCCUGCGGCACUGGCGGUGCGCCCCU